UUUACCACCAAGACAGUGAAACGAACAACCUUGUUGAGAGAUUUUUUUUCAGCAUGAAGUAUCAGUUUCUUCAUGGUUAUGCAAACAGAUGAGUUGAUGAACUACUUCUACUACUUAAUACCAAGGUGGUCACUUACUACAGGUAUCUGGAAGAUCUUCAUGGUGCUCAGAGGAUUUCUGAUUCCAAAACACAGGAUACUGCAGAAUCUGCAUUACGUAUGAAGAACAAAGGCCUUCAAAAUAAUUUUGUUUACAAAUCAGGUGGCCAUUGCACAGUGCCUUCAGAAGCAGAUAAAGCAAAAUGUUAUGCUGUGGAUUUAAUUAGCAUGAAAUAUGAAUGCACUGUUUCUG